rnacentral:lncRNA from 1 species
CACAGUUGAAAAAGCAGGCAUCCUACAUAAAGAGAAUUCCCUGUAGAGAUGACUUCUAAUGUCCUGAAAUGUGCUGAAAGGUACAGAUUUAUUUCAACCUCUACCUCUUGGAUUGAAACUGAUGGAAGAGCACAUUACAGAUUCUACAGGUGGAGAACCAUUUACUGUGUUGAUCUGAUACAAUAAUUUAGAUUAAAAGUGUCCUGAGCUAAGGUAGUUGCG